UACGUAGGGGGCAAGCGUUGUCCGGAAUUAUUGGGCGUAAAGAGCUCGUAGGCGGUCUGUCGCGUCUGCUGUGAAAACCCGAGGCUCAACCUCGGGCCUGCAGUGGGUACGGGCAGACUAGAGUGCGGUAGGGGAGAUUGGAAUUCCUGGUGUAGCGGUGGAAUGCGCAGAUAUCAGGAGGAACACCGAUGGCGAAGGCAGCUCGCUGGGACGGUACUGACGCUGAGACGCGAAAGCGUGGGGGAGCGAACAGG
rnacentral:rRNA from 1 species